GCCAGGCACGGUGGCGGGUGCCUGUAAUCCCAGCUACUUGGGAGGCUGAGGCAGGAGAAUUGCUUGAGCCCAGGAGGCGGAGGUUGCAGUGAACAGAGAUCCUGCCACUGCACUCCAGCCUGGGUGACAGGGAGAGACUCUGUCUCAA
ensembl:misc_RNA Metazoa_SRP Metazoan signal recognition particle RNA